rfam:Thalassospira alkalitolerans strain JCM 18968 contig7, whole genome shotgun sequence.
GCCCAAAGUCGCACGUGCCUGUGGUGGUCCUGCUUAAAGAACCCUGUAGGACUUACUUAAAGCAACGACGGUGUAGGGCUUUU